rnacentral:rRNA from 1 species
GACGAACGCUGGCGGCGUGCUUAACACAUGCAAGUCGUACGGUAAGGCCCUUUCGGGGGUACACGAGUGGCGAACGGGUGAGUAACACGUGAGUAACCUGCCCACAACUUUGGGAUAACGCUAGGAAACUGGUGCUAAUACUGGAUAUGUGCUCCUGCUGCAUGGUGGGGGUUGGAAAGCUCCGGCGGUUGUGGAUGGACUCGCGGCCUAUCAGCUUGUUGGUGGGGUAGUGGCCUACCAAGGCGGCGACGGGUAGCCGGCCUGAGAGGGUGACCGGCCACAUUGGGACUGAGAUACGGCCCAGACUCCUACGGGAGGCAGCAGUGGGGAAUAUUGCACAAUGGGCGCAAGCCUGAUGCAGCAACGCCGCGUGCGGGAUGACGGCCUUCGGGUUGUAAACCGCUUUCAGCAGGGAUGAAGCUUUUUGUGACGGUACCUGCAGAAGAAGCACCGGCUAACUACGUG